AUAAGUCAGAGCGUUCGAUGAGUAAAUGCAGUGUGCAGAGAGGUGUACAUCGCGCGUCUGACAUCAAAGAAAGAAGAAACCCAUACAGGUUUGGAGCAACAUAAGGGCAUGUGAACUAACACUUCAGGAUUAUUGGAAGUCAUUUUUACUGGGUCACGUAUCACUCUGCAAUCUCUACAUUUGAACUAAAGCACUUUCUGCAUCUGUAUCUCUUUCAUGCGGUUUUGAAAUCCAUUUGACUGGAGCAGAGCGAGAACGAUUGAAGAUUAGAGGCAUUAUUCAUAAUUCCUGGUUUUUGUUUCAGGCGCAAGGCUUUUUGACGGGGUAUGCCAUUGUGAGAUGAACACGAAGGGCUGCUACAUUUACCCCGUCUGACGACUUGAGACUGACUGCACUGACGGCCUGAAUCUCCUCUGGGUACAGAGAGUUUUUAGUGAGGGCAGUGAAAGGUCCUGUGCCAUUUCCAGUGGAUUUCUUUCUCCCUUCGUACAAAAGGGCAGGUGGUGUAGCCAGCAGUCUGGUGCUUUAACCUGACCUGACCCAGAACCAGAACCAGGUGCUGAGCUGUGAUUAUGAGUCUCAGAAGACCAUACAGCCUGCAGCCUUCCCAGAGGCCUCCAUAUGGACACCAACUGCAAUCUGUGAUGAACAGCACAAAUGAUUCUCAUCCACAUAAAUAUGGACAUACUGUACCAUGGCCAUACCAAAUGUAGUGAAUGCAGUGUAGGUUACGAUGAUUGAUUGAUUUGUCUUAUUUCAGUUGUUUUUUUUAAAUUGCUUACUGUUCAAAAGGCUAUUGAACUUUCUUCAUGUGACUUCAUGUGAAUUU